GAGGAAUGUAUAGCAAUAGCUAGUUGCAUCAUAGUAGAUAUGAUGCAAGAUCGACUAUGUUGAAUAAAAUUCUAGGUAGAAUUAUGAUAAUGACAUUGUCUGCCUAUGUGUCUUGACCAAAUUACGUGCCAGCAGUCGCGGUAAUACGUAGAAGACUAGUGUUAUUCAUGUUUAAUCGGUUUAAAGGGUACCUAGACGGUAGAUCAAGCUUUCUAAUAAAGGAAAAGGACUAGUUUACUAGAGUUACUUAUGAGGGGGUAUUAAAGUACUGCUGGUGUAGAGAUGAAAUUCUGUCAUACCUCUUUUCAAAAGAAAAACCAUGGCACAGGUAUAGGCGAAGGCAUCCCCUUAUGUGAUAACUGACGUUGAGGGACGAAGGCUUUGUGUAGCGAACAGGAUUAGAUACCCCAGUAGUCGAAGCAGAAAAUGAUGAAUGUCAUAGAUUAGAUAUAUAAGUUUAUUCUAUAAAUGAAAGUGUAAGCAUUCCACCUCAUGAGUAAUUUGGCAACAUUGGAACUGAAAUCAUUAGACCGUUUCUGAAACCAGUAGUGAAGUAUGUUGUUUAAUUUGAUGUCCCGCAAAAAACCUUACCACAAUUUGAAUAUUUAUAUUGUUUAUUGNUUUAUUCUUAAUUUUCUUGAACGUAAAAAUCACGUUAAAGAAAAGAGAGAAGGAUAAUAGUAAGAAAAUUAAGAAAAAAGCAAUAAGAUAUAAUUACAAGCGUUGCACGGCUGUCUUCAGUUAAUGUCGCGAGACUUUGGUUAGUUCCAUUAAAUUAACGUAAACCCUUACUUUAUUUUUAUAUAGAGUAGUUCCCCGCUAUAUUGGAUAUGAU
rnacentral:rRNA from 1 species